UCUUGGAGUUUUACCAUCCUUCAAUGAAGCCUUUGUCUCCUCUCUGCUUUGUCUCCAUCUUCUUUUUCUUGUUGUUGUCUUCUCCCGGUUGUUCAGGGACCUCUACUGCAGCUGGAUAUCCUGCCAAGAGAGAAAACCACAUUAAAAUACUGACCUGGUGGAAGAUGUUGUUGAUCUUGUGCGAUUCCCGUGUCCUUCUGCAUCUUUUCUUACAGAAGAAGCUCCUCUCUUUGUGUUGACUCGUUCAGUUAACAAGUUUAAACACACAAAAGGGAGCUGUGGUUGUGUGAUUCGGGAUUACGAUUCUUGUUUUGGUUAUGAUAUAAAACAUUUUGUUUUGAUGAUACUGCUUUUUUAUAUAAGCUGCGAUUUGAUAAAAAGCUAUAAUGAUGGCGGCAACGGCUGAUGAUAAUAUUCUUCUUUA